rnacentral:rRNA from 1 species
AUUGAACGCUGGCGGAAUGCUUUACACAUGCAAGUCGAGCGGCAGCGCGGGGCAACCUGGCGGCGAGCGGCGAACGGGUGAGUAACAUAUCGGAACGUACCCAGUCGUGGGGGAUAACUAUCCGAAAGGAUAGCUAAUACCGCAUACGACCUGAGGGUGAAAGCGGGGGACCGAAAGGCCUCGCGCGAUUGGAGCGGCCGAUAUCGGAUUAGCUAGUUGGUGAGGUAAAGGCUCACCAAGGCGACGACCCGUAGCUGGUCUGAGAGGACGACCAGCCACACUGGAACUGAGACACGGUCCAGACUCCUACGGGAGGCAGCAGUGGGGAAUUUUGGACAAUGGGGGCAACCCUGAUCCAGCCAUGCCGCGUGAGUGAAGAAGGCCCUCGGGUUGUAAAGCUCUUUUGUCCGGAAAGAAAAGCAAUCGGUUAAUACCCGGUUGUUCUGACGGUACCGGAAGAAUAAGCACCGGCUAACUUCGUG